AGAGGGCCUCUACUUUCUUGACUUUCUUUGUUACCUCUGUCUAUAUAUCAUCAACAUCCAAGGUCCAUCCAUCAUCGCAUCAUGUCAAGCAGAAUCUCAGAGGUUGAAGCUCUUAUAAAAUCUUGAGACUUUAAAUGUAGCUACACUGUAUCUGAAGUCAUCAGUCGCCAGGCAUGCAACCAUAAGAGCUAAUUCUUUGCUACUCCGAUGCUCACUUGGUACUGUUGGGCAUGUAUAGCUCACGGCAAGUCCACUCUGGUCAAAGCUAUCUCAGGAGUUCAGACUGAAACAUCACCAUCAAGCUGGAAUAUGCCACGCUAAGGUAUGUAUAAUCGUUUGUGGACUGUCCCAGUCACGAUAUUCUCAGGUGCAAAGAAACACCCCGGAUAGUUCUUAUAGCAAUCAUGCUGAACGGAGCAUGCUGUUAUGGACGCAGCACUCUUAUUAAUAGCGGGCAACGAGAGUCGUGUUCCCAGCCCCAAACAUCCGAGCAUCUGGCAGCCAUUAGGAUUAUGAAGGUGGCACAUUCUCACCCAGUCCCUUGAUUGACUUAAUCCGAGACACACAUGCAAGCCAAAGACAAGUACCAGGAGGUCCUCAAGUUUGUACAAGGUACAGUGGAAGAAGGUGCUCCAAUAAUUCCCAGCUCAACGAGAUUCCCUGGCCAACCCACAGGGCCUCAUCACGAUCGACCAUAAUGAUUGAUAUGAACAGAAGAAAGAAAAUUACCAUGUGGAAAUCACAAGUGGAGAUGAAGACUACUAGAGAUGUGCACACAUGCAGAUGAAGACGAUUGGGUUCGUGAGUUUGAGGCCUGGUGUCCAGCCAUGACAGUCAUAGCGCACUAGGGUUCCCAACAGGACAUCAAUCGUGAUAACUUUGAUGUCAUCCUCACAACGUACAAUGUGUCAGGCUGAGGACAGGAAGAGUUCUUAGGAAGCUCUCUAUAGACUGUCUCGUAUACUGGACGAGGGACACAUGCUCAAGAACAUGAACCUAUUGCGAUACACACACCUCUGAAAAUACAGGGGAUGAGCUCCAAGAAGAGGAUGGAUGUGAUGGUAGACUUUUGCAAGGCCACCAACCAUCCCCUAUUCCUGAGACACUGACGACACCCUCCACUGCAUUCAUGGUGAGGGCCAUCCGAAAGGAGUCCAGUCACAGAGAUACUGCUCCCAACCUCGUGUGGGAAGAUAAUUAUGAGUGUAAUGUUCGACUUUAAGCUGCACAAACUCUGCAUUGCAGUACAAGGGUAUUGGUAAGAAAAUGGAGGCAAUAUUGUUCCUGUCCCACCUCUAUCAGCUGGGUCACUUCCUUGUCGUCCCUAACCCCUCCUCCACUAUAGAGAGUGGACGACUUGGGUGCCUAUAUAUCCACCAAGACCAGUACGUAAGACAGGCCAAGCAGAUCAUGACACCCUUCACACUACGGAGUCACAAGUGCUGAGUCAGCUCACGGCCAAGGUGUCCAGUACGGAGCACUAUCAGCUGACAUAGAAUAAGUGGACGUUGUACAAGGGCAUGGCAGAGAGGGGAUGAGCUCCAAGAAGAGGAUGGAUGUGAUGGUAGACUUUUGCAAGGCCACCAACCAUCCCCUAUUCCUGAGACACUGACGACACCCUCCACUGCAUUCAUGGUGAGGGCCAUCCGAAAGGAGUCCAGUCACAGAGAUACUGCUCCCAACCUCGUGUGGGAAGAUAAUUAUGAGUGUAAUGUUCGACUUUAAGCUGCACAAACUCUGCAUUGCAGUACAAGGGUAUUGGUAAGAAAAUGGAGGCAAUAUUGUUCCUGUCCCACCUCUAUCAGCUGGGUCACUUCCUUGUCGUCCCUAACCCCUCCUCCACUAUAGAGAGUGGACGACUUGGGUGCCUAUAUAUCCACCAAGACCAGUACGUAAGACAGGCCAAGCAGAUCAUGACACCCUUCACACUACGGAGUCACAAGUGCUGAGUCAGCUCACGGCCAAGGUGUCCAGUACGGAGCACUAUCAGCUGACAUAGAAUAAGUGGACGUUGUACAAGGGCAUGGCAGAGAGGUAUUUAUACCCAUACUGAGCACCCCUCUGCCACUAGAGGUGAUGAGCUCAACAAUUAAGAGGAUGGACGUGAUGGUAGACCUUCGCAAGGCCACCAACCACCCCCUACUCCUGAGACACUACUAUUGAAGGGACGAGUCGAGUGCCUAUAUUACAAGGAGCAAGUGAGACAGGCCAAGCAGAUCAUGACACCCUUCACACUGCGGAGUUACAAGUGCUGAGUCAGCUCCCGGCCAAGGUGUCCAGUACGGAGCAAUGUCAACUGACGGAUACUCAGUGGACGUUGUACAGGGGCGUGGUGGAGAGGUCACUCAGGGUCAAUCAAGGUCGACAUGUUAUCCGGAACCAUAUAUAGAUGUCUGGGUUCUACUGCUACAAGCUAAGAGGAUACUCCUGCUCACGGGGACUCCACUACAGAACAACCUGCUGGAAUGUCUCUACUCAGUUUUGUUAUUCCUUUCAAACUGUUUUCUACUCAAAUCAGAAAGACCUUCUCUAGAGCUAGGAGAGUGGAACGCUCAGGUGCCUACUACCAGGAGUAAGUGAGACAGACCAAGCAGAUCAUGACGCCCUUCACUCUAGAUCUGGAGGCUCAACGGUCACAAGUGCUGAGCCAGCUCCUGGCCAAAGUGUCGAGCCAGCAUUGCCUGCUGACAGAGACUAAGUGGAGAUUGUACAGAGACGUGGUGGAGAGGUCAAUCAGGGUCCACAUGGUGUGGUUACCUUUUUGUUCGUUAUGAGAGGCAGUUUUGCACAGUUGGGAGCACGAAGCUUGUCCUCUGUCCGGAAUCAAGAAGAUUGUGUGUACACAGCAAGAUCAUCUCAUACCAUACCAGAGUGGACGAGUCGAGUGCCUACUACCAGUAUAGCAAGUGAGACAAGCCAUGCAGAUCAUGACACCCUUCACACUGCGGAGGCUCAAGUCACAUUUAAAUGCUGAGUCAGCUCCCGGCCAAGGUGUCCAGUACGGAGCAUUGUCAUCUGGCGGAGACUCAGUGGACGUUGUACAGAGGCGUGGUGGAGAGGUCACUCAGGGUCAAUCAGGACGGACAUGGUGAUGAGGUCAACAAGAGGAUGGACGUGAUGGUAGACCUUCGCAAGGCCACCAACCAUCCCCUACUCCUGAGACACCACUACACUGACCACACCUACACUGCAUGGUGAGGGCCAUCCAAAGGAGUCUAGUCACAGAGAUGCUGCUCCUAACCUCAUGUGAGAAGAUAUGAGUGUAAUGUCCGUUUUUGAGCUGCACAACCUCCGUACCCAUGCCAUUAUAAGGUCAGGCUGAGGACAGGAUGUUCUUUAGGAAGCUCUCUCUAGACUGUCUUGUACUGGACGAGGGACACAUGCUCAAAAACAUGAACUCACUGCGAUACACACACCUCAUGAAAAUACAGUGAUCGACUCACACAAUCCUGUGAUGGUAUUGCUACAAGCUAAGAGGAGGCUCCUGCUCACGGGGACUCCACUACAGAACAACCUGCUGGAGCUCAUGUCUCUACUCAGUUUGGUUAUUCCUUUCGAGCAGUUCUCUGCUCAAAUCAAAAAAACCUAGAUAGGGUAGGGUGAGCCUCGGUGAUUUGAUUUGCCCUUGAGUCAUUUAUAUUGGAAUUUCAGUGGAUGUAUUAGAUGCAUUUUUCCAGUUUACAAAACUAAAUUUUGAUUUAGCCAAAAUAAUGUUGCUCUAUUCCCCAUGCAGUAUAUAUAGUUCACAGUUCUUAUACUACACUGCCCCCCCCCCCCCACACACACACAUCCCACAAAGAGUGAACAAGCCUUGAGUGCUUACUAUACCAGGAGCAAGUGAGACAGGCCAAGCAGAUCAUGACACCCUUCACACUGCAGAGGCUCAGGUCACAAGUGCUGAGUCAGCUCUCGGCCAAGGUGUCCAGUAUACGGAGCAUUGUCAGCUAACGGAGACUCAAUGGACAUUGUACAUGCAGGGGCGUGGUGGAGAGGUCACUCAGGGUCAAUCAGGGCCGACAUGGUGAUGAGCUAGGACGGACGUGAUGUGGUAGACCUUCGCGGCCACCAACCAUCCCCUACUCCUGAGACAUCACUAUACACUGACCACACCCUACACUGCAUGGUGAGGGCCAUCCUAAAGGUGUCCAGUCACAGAGAUGCCAUCCCAAUUAACCUGCAUGCAUGGUGUGGGAGGAUAUGCAUGAGUGCAAUGUCCAACUUUGAGCCUGCACAACGCCACAACCUCUACACAUGCACUGUACAAGAUGAUAAUGGACAUGACUGGUCUCCUCCCAACCUAACGUUAUUGAGUUUAGGUAUCACUUAAUUAAUUGUUAUAGUGAUUUUGUGAAUAGGAUAGCUGGUAUUAUUAUCUCAAUCCGAUUUGCAGUUUUGAUAAUUUGCAUUGUAAUUCAGAUGC